UUCGAUGAUACGCGAGGAACCUUACCUGGGCUCAAAUGUAUGUUGACGUAUUCUGAAAGGGAUACCUUCUUCGGACAAUAUACGAAGGUGCUGCAUGGUUGUCGUCAGCUCGUGCCGUGAGGUGUCGGGUUAAGUCCCAUAACGAGCGCAACCCCUAUCAUUAGUUGCCAUCAGGUCAAGCUGGGGACUCUAAUGAAACUGCCUACGCAAGUAGUGAGGAAGGUGGGGAUGACGUCAAAUCAGCACGGCCUUACGUCCAGGGCUACACACGUGCUACAAUGGCCGAUACAGAGGGCAGCUACCUGGUGACAGGAUGCAAAUCUCCAAAGUCGGUCUCAGUUCGGAUCGGAGUCUGCAACCCGACUCCGUGAAGUUGGAUUCGCUAGUAAUCGCGCAUCAGCCAUGGCGCGGUGAAUACGUUCCCGGGCCUU
rnacentral:rRNA from 1 species